UCUUCCUAAUGAAUGAAUGCAUGUUGAAGUUUGGAGUUCCCUUUUUGCUGGAAGAAGAUUGGAACUGCAGGGAAUACAUUGAGCAUUCACAUCCAGGCCUCUGCAGUCAAGUUCUUGGUUGAAAGGGUCGUGUAGGUGCGUCUGGCCAGCCCUGCAUUCAAGAGGUGCAACACCUCCGUAGAGGAGAGAUGAAGAUGCAGAGAAGAUGAAACAUCCCACAGGGAUCAUUGUGCUGAGGGAUUACGAGGGGCAGGAAGACGCUGACUGUUUUCCUCCUUCGUCCCUCUGCGAGGAAAAUCCUGGAGUAAAGCACCUGAGUGCUAAAGAAGACGUUUACCUGUAUGGAUCUGCUGGAUUAUUACCUGAGUGACACCUGGGCAGACUGCACGGGAUUAUUUCAGAUUAGUUGCUGUUACCUGAUGUUUCCUCCUGCGCUGCAGAGAAUGUGCCUACUACUCACAACACAUUCAGAGACUCAUUCAGACCACCUGGGAAAAAGCAAGAAAUACAUUCAAAUAUAUUGUAUAGUUAUUCAUUCCCAAUGCUGCUCACAGUAAUCACAGUCCACGGCUCUCAUGCCAACAGCACGGGGUCUCUCCCUCUCCUCUAGCGCGAUGACGUUGCCAAUUAGUAAGUGAACGUAUGACCACAUCUGCAGACUUUUUGCAACUUUUGGAGUUAGUGCUGCUAGCUACACCACACAGGGCACAGUGUAUUUUGUCUCCCAGGGCAUUGUGAUGUAAAUAAAGCCUUCAUUUUCCUGGGAGAUCGUACCUGGCGGCAGAC